UACAGAGGGUGCAAGCGUUAAUCGGAAUUACUGGGCGUAAAGCGUGCGUAGACGGUUAUUUAAGUCAGGUGUGAAAGCCCCGGGCUCAACCUGGGAAUUGCAUUUGAGACUGAAUAGCUAGGGUGCGGAAGAGGGAAGCGGAAUUUCCGGUGUAGAGGUGAAAUUCGUAGAUAUGGGGAGGAACACCGGUGGCGAAGGCGGCCGACCUGGACGGUAACUGACGCUGAGACGCGAAAGCGUGGGGAGCAAACAGG
rnacentral:rRNA from 1 species